UCAGAAACGUGAUAAAGUUGAUGGAUUGAUCCACGAAAGUGGACGUGGUACAUUCACACCCAGCUCUCAGUGAUAGAGGUUGCUGUAAGAAGAGGCCUUUGAACGGCAGUGAGACAUCACACUGGCUAAGAGUCAGCUCUUCUGAGUCGAUUGAAGGCAGCAAUAUGGUAGAAGUAAGAGGAGUUCUGAGGCCAUCGAUGAAAGGACAGAGGCUUAUGAAGGGUUACAGCACGGGAGUGGAAAAUGAACGACCAGAUACUGCGGCUACGUUCAAGGCAAAGUCAAUGAGGCCUGACAGUGGACCAACUCCUCAGUGUAAGUAACUCACAGCCUUCGACCGUAAUUUCAAUAUCUUUGGUCUAAGAAACAGGCAGAGUAACUGUCCAGCAAGACUCUUUUCUCUUGCCUACUUGUUUUGAACCCCGCCCUCACUUUCUCCCAUGCUCUUACUUGUUUGGUAUAUGAGGAGACAGCAACCUACAGACAGCGGAUUAUAAAAUACAGUUGGGACUGCACGUGUAAAUUGCUAUCAGAGAAAAGAGGAAGCCCGAGCCAAGGACAACCGCAUCUUAGAUGUUCACUACCUUUGAUAUGAAGAUCAAAAGAUAGCUUCAUAGCCCUGGGAAAGCCCGCAAAAAAAAAAAAAAAAUCCUGUCAAGAGCGUAGAACCUCAAUAUGAACACCCGGAGCCGAUUAUCCAAGAAAGCACGUGGCUUUGAGAGAAAACUAUGGAACAUGCCUCCAGUUCUAAAAUUAGAAGUGAAAAUCCCCGGUAAGUAGAAUGGAGACAUUGGUAGGCAUGUAUUUUGAAAUUCAACCUCCCCAUUGGGGUAUUUUGUUCAAGUGCC
rnacentral:lncRNA from 1 species